AGCUACUGCCUUUUUGCAACCAGAAAGUCAUAGCCUUGUUCACAAAUGAAUUUAUACAGAUUACUCAAGAAAAGCAGCAAAUCCUUUCUGCCCCACCUGCCCUAACCCCAAGCUCCAAAAAGGAAUGUUCAUUCUUCUGUCUGCUCUUUCAUAAGGAAAAGAAAAAGAGAUGCAAUGACAGAAGCAGAGAUCAGAAAGAGACUGAGAGUUGAAGACACUCCACUGCUGGCUUGAAGAUGGAGGAAGGGCCCACGAGCUAAGGAAUGCAGGCAGCCUCUAGAAGUGGGGAAAGGCAAGGAAAUGGAUUCUGUCCGAGUCUCAAGAAGGAACACAGUCCUGCCAACCCAUUUUGGACUUCUGACUUCUAGAACG
rnacentral:lncRNA from 1 species